rnacentral:rRNA from 1 species
UGCCAGACUCCUACGGGAGGCAGCAGUGGGGAAUAUUGCACAAUGGGGGGAACCCUGAUGCAGCGACGCCGCGUGGGCGAGGAAGUAUUUCGGUAUGUAAAGCCCUAUCGGCAGGGAAGAAGAAAUGACGGUACCUGAAUAAGAAGCACCGGCUAAAUACGGGCCAGCAGCCGCGGGAAUACGGAGGGGGCAAGCGUUAUCCGGAUUUACUGGGUGUAAAGGGGGCGCAGACGGCGAUGCAAGCCAGGAGUGAAAGCCCGGGGCCCAACCCCGGGACUGCUCUUGGAACUGCGUGGCUGGAGUGCAGGAGGGGCAGGCGGAAUUCCUGGCGUAGCGGUGAAAUGCGUAGAUAUCAGGAGGAACACCGGUGGCGAAGGCGGCCUGCUGGACUGCAACUGACGUUGAGGCCCGAAAGCGUGGGGAGCAAACAGGAUUAGAUACCCCAGUACG